CCGAUGCUCUACGAUUGAUGGCUCAGUGAGGCGUCCGGACUGGCCCAGAGAGGUGGGCAACUACCACUCAGGGCCGGAAAGCUCUCCAAACUCGGUCAUUUAGAGGAAGUAAAAGUCGUAACAAGGUCUCCGUUGGUGAACCAGCGGAGGGAUCAUUACCGAGUUUACAACUCCCAAACCCCUGUGAACAUACCUUAAUGUUGCCUCGGCGGAUCAGCCCGCGCCCCGUAAAACGGGACGGCCCGCCAGAGGACCCAAACUCUAAUGUUUCUUAUUGUAACUUCUGAGUAAAACAAACAAAUAAAUCAAAACUUUCAACAACGGAUCUCUUGGUUCUGGCAUCGAUGAAGAACGCAGCAAAAUGCGAUAAGUAAUGUGAAUUGCAGAAUUCAGUGAAUCAUCGAAUCUUUGAACGCACAUUGCGCCCGCUGGUAUUCCGGCGGGCAUGCCUGUUCGAGCGUCAUUUCAACCCUCAAGCCCCCGGGUUUGGUGUUGGGGAUCGGCUCUGCCCUUCUGGGCGGUGCCGCCCCCGAAAUACAUUGGCGGUCUCGCUGCAGCCUCCAUUGCGUAGUAGCUAACACCUCGCAACUGGAACGCGGCGCGGCCAUGCCGUAAAACCCCAACUUCUGAAUGUUGACCUCGGAUCAGGUAGGAAUACCCGCUGAACUUAAGCAUAUCAAUAAGCGGAGGAAAAGAAACCAACAGGGAUUGCCCUAGUAACGGCGAGUGAAGCGGCAACAGCUCAAAUUUGAAAUCUGGCUUUCGGGCCCGAGUUGUAAUUUGUAGAGGAUACUUUUGAUGCGGUGCCUUCCGAGUUCCCUGGAACGGGACGCCAUAGAGGGUGAGAGCCCCGUCUGGUUGGAUGCCAAAUCUCUGUAAAGUUCCUUCGACGAGCGAUGU
rnacentral:rRNA from 1 species